UAUACAUAGUCGAUUUAUUUACACCAAGGAAACCAGGAAUUUGACCCUUGAAUAACAUCACGAAGAAAAAAUAUCGAAUCAGAUAGAAUGCAGCUGAGCCAACCAGACAGGGACCUGUGAGGAUUUUCCACAAGCCUGUCCUGUCGUCCUCCAGGCCCUAGCUAUGUUGGCCAUAGCAAAGUCCUAGGAAGAGAAAGACCUUUUUUCUGGGGUUCUGGGCCAGAACCAGUUGGAGAGAAGCAAAGAAAAUCGCCCUCCAGAUAACAUGGGACCUAAAGAUCUUCUAUGAGUCUUUGAAGGCAGCUCAAAAUAAGGUUCUAUGAGAUACUGAACAUCAGAUGACUUCUUCAGGCUUCCCUCCAGCAUUGUGGCCAACAGAAAGAAGGAUCCAGUGUCCACUAACCAAGACAGUGGUCCUAGUGCCUCUACUGAUCUAGCCCAGUUCUCAACUCUAGUGAGAACUUUCAUCAAUGAAGAAGAGCUUGACGUGUUACCAGGAUCGAGGAUAUUUACUGAGAUGUCACUUCAAAAAGGAAAC